rnacentral:pre_miRNA from 1 species
GGGAGCGAGAUAGGGACUUGCUGUCAUUUGAAAAACUUUUACAACCAGUCAGUCUUUUUCUCUCUCCUAU